AAGCUGCGAAAAAGAAGACUAAGAAAAGAGAUACCAAAGUCGGGACUAUCGAUGAUGAUCCUGAAUAUAGAAAGUUUUUGGAAAGUUAUGCCACAGAUAAUGAGAAAAUGACAUCUACUCCAGAGACACUGCUAGAGGAAAUAGAAGCAAAAAAUAGAGAAUUAAUAGCUAAAAAGACAACCCCACUUUUGAGCUUCCUGAAAAACAAGCAGAGAAUGAGAGAAGAAAAGAGAGAAGAAAGAAGGAGGAGAGAAAUAGAAAGAAAAAGACAAAGAGAAGAAGAGAGGAGGAAAUGGAAAGAAGAAGAGAAACGAAAAAGGAAAGAUAUAGAAAAGCUAAAGAAGAUAGACAGAAUUCCAGAAAGGGACAAAUUAAAGGAUGAACCAAAGAUUAAGGUACACAGGUUUCUGUUACAAGCUGUGAAUCAGAAAAAUGUAAGGACCAAGUACAUGAUACAGAGCAUCUAGUAUCAUGUCACACACACAGCUGCUCAAGAAGCCAGAAAAAGGGGAUGAAAAAGAAUUGGACAAAAGAGAAAAAGCCAAGAAAUUGGACAAAGAGAAUCUCAGUGAUGAAAGAGCCAGUGGGCAAAGUUGUACAUUGCCCAAGCGUUCUGAUAGCGAACUUAAAGAUGAAAAACCAAAGAGGUCAGUAGUCAAGGACUCUUUGUUAUGUUUGAUUUAUACAUGCUAGUUUUGCUGCUAUGUCCUGGACAUGUACCUGAAUUAAGAUAAGCUGUUUUAUGCAG
rnacentral:sRNA from 1 species